rnacentral:rRNA from 1 species
UACAGAGGUCUCAAGCGUUUGUUCGGAUUCAUUGGGCGUAAAGCGUGCGCAGGCGGUUCGUUGUGUCUGCUGUGAAAUCCCCGGGCUUAACCUGGGAAUGGCCAUGGAAACUGGCGAACUGGAGUGCGGCAGAGGGGGGUGGAAUUCCGCGUGUAGCAGUGAAAUGCGUAGAGAUGCGGAGGAACACCGAUGGCGAAGGCAGCCCCCCUGGGCUAGCACUGACGCUCAGGCACGAAAGCGUGGGGAGCAAACAGG